rnacentral:snoRNA from 1 species
AACGAAUUUCCACAGGAGAAUCAUUUCUAUAGUAUUCGUCUCUUGCUUUGGUUCCCAAAAGAGCCAUCGAAUCCACCCUGGUUGAUGACUGUAUAUCCUCGACAUCCAAGAGUGAAUAUUUUCUGGUCCUCUCGUACCAUCCGGAAGGAUGGCGGUAGAAGCCCUGUGCCUCUGCUGUAUAGAGAGUUGUUUUUCUCUUGAUGAUCUCGACCCUAUCGAUGGUCUGCCCUUGGGCGCAUUGGUUGGGUGGUUGUCGAUGGACGUCUGACAGGC